rnacentral:rRNA from 1 species
GACGAACGCUGGCGGCGUGCUUAACACAUGCAAGUCGAACGGAAAGGCCCUUCGGGGUACUCGAGUGGCGAACGGGUGAGUAACACGUGGGUGAUCUGCCCUGCACUUUGGGAUAAGCCUGGGAAACUGGGUCUAAUACCGAAUAGGACCACGCGCUUCAUGGUGUGUGGUGGAAAGCUUUUGCGGUGUGGGAUGGGCCCGCGGCCUAUCAGCUUGUUGGUGGGGUAAUGGCCUACCAAGGCGACGACGGGUAGCCGGCCUGAGAGGGUGACCGGCCACACUGGGACUGAGAUACGGCCCAGACUCCUACGGGAGGCAGCAGUGGGGAAUAUUGCACAAUGGGCGCAAGCCUGAUGCAGCGACGCCGCGUGAGGGAUGACGGCCUUCGGGUUGUAAACCUCUUUCAAUAGGGACGAAGCGCAAGUGACGGUACCUAUAGAAGAAGCACCGGCCAACUACGUGCCAGCAGCCGCGGUAAUACGUAGGGUGCGAGCGUUGUCCGGAAUUACUGGGCGUAAAGAGCUCGUAGGUGGUUUGUCGCGUUGUUCGUGAAAACUCACAGCUUAACUGUGGGCGUGCGGGCGAUACGGGCAGACUAGAGUACUGCAGGGGAGACUGGAAUUUCUGGUGUAGCGGUGGAAUGCGCAGAUAUCAGGAGGAACACCGGUGGCGAAGGCGGGUCUCUGGGCAGUAACUGACGCUGAGGAGCGAAAGCGUGGGGAGCGAACAGGAUUAGAUACCCUGGUAGUCCACGCCGUAAACGGUGGGUACUAGGUGUGGGUUCCUUCCUUGGGAUCCGUGCCGUAGCUAACGCAUUAAGUACCCCGCCUGGGGAGUACGGCCGCAAGGCUAAAACUCAAAGGAAUUGACGGGGGCCCGCACAAGCGGCGGAGCAUGUGGAUUAAUUCGAUGCAACGCGAAGAACCUUACCUGGGUUUGACAUGCACAGGACGCCGGCAGAGAUGUCGGUUCCCUUGUGGCCUGUGUGCAGGUGGUGCAUGGCUGUCGUCAGCUCGUGUCGUGAGAUGUUGGGUUAAGUCCCGCAACGAGCGCAACCCUUGUCCUAUGUUGCCAGCGGGUUAUGCCGGGGACUCGUAGGAGACUGCCGGGGUCAACUCGGAGGAAGGUGGGGAUGACGUCAAGUCAUCAUGCCCCUUAUGUCCAGGGCUUCACACAUGCUACAAUGGCCGGUACAAAGGGCUGCGAUGCCGUGAGGUGGAGCGAAUCCUUUCAAAGCCGGUCUCAGUUCGGAUCGGGGUCUGCAACUCGACCCCGUGAAGUCGGAGUCGCUAGUAAUCGCAGAUCAGCAACGCUGCGGUGAAUACGUUCCCGGGCCU